CCUACGGGAGGCAGCAGUGGGGGAUAUUGCACAAUGGGGGAAACCCUGAUGCAGCGACGCCGCGUGGGUGAAGAAGUAUUUCGGUAUGUAAAGCCCUAUCAGCAGGGAAGAAAGAAGACGGUACCUGACUAAGAAGCCCCGGCUAACUACGUGCCAGCAGCCGCGGUAAUACGUAGGGGGCGAGCGUUAUCCGGAUUCACUGGGUGUAAAGGGAGCGUAGACGGCCGUGCAAGCCAGGAGUGAAAGCCCGGGGCCCAACCCCGGGACUGCUCUUGAAACUGUGCGGCUGGAGUGCGGGAGGGGCAGGCGGAAUUCCUAGUGUAGCGGUGAAAUGCGUAGAUAUCAGGAGGAACACCGGCGGCGAAGGCGGCCUGCUGGACCGCGACUGACGUUGAGGCUCGAAAGCGUGGGGAGCGAACAGGAUUAGAUACCCUUGUAGUC
rnacentral:rRNA from 1 species